CACGGCAGCCAAGAGGCUCUGGAGAGAUGUGGGAGCCACAGCAGUGCUCCCAACGGGCACGCAGCACGCAGGGCGCAGACCCUUCUCCAGGGACUCCAGGCCCUGAUAGGGUCAGGGACCCUUCCUCACCCUUAGGCCUGCCCUCCAGGGCCACCUAGGUUCUAAUCGUGGCAGGAAGGCUGAGCAAACACAAGGCCCAUGCUCCAGACGCAUCCAACAGGGAGCAGCCUUGAAAGCCACUCUUCCCCGGAGCCCUCCCUUUUAUUUCACUGCUGCAAUGCUGCUCCUACAGGGAGCCCUACCUUUUUUUUGUUGUUUUUUUUUUUUGAGACAGUCUCGCACUGUCACCCGGGCUGGAGUGGAGUGGCACGAUCUUGGCUCACUGCAACCUCCACCUCCCGGGUUCACACCAUUCUCCUGCCUCAGCCUCCCAAGUAGCUGGGACUACAGGCGCCCGCCACCACACCCGGCUAAUUUUUUGUAUUUUUAGUAGAGAUGGGGUUUCACCGUGUUAGCCAGGAUGGUCUCAAUCUCCUGACCUCGUGAUCCGCCCACCUUGGCCUCCCAAAGUGCUGGGAUUACAGGCGUGAGCCACUGUGCCCCAGCAGCCCUACCCUUAAUCUCAGGGCUUUGAUCUCUCCCAAGCCCCUUCCUUGAUUUCUUUCUCCCUCAAACCCCUCCCUACCCCCCAAUUUUUUAAAGAUAGCAUUUCAUUGUGUUGCCCAAGCUGUAAUGCAGUGGCACAACCUUGAACUCCUGGGCUUAAGGGAUACUCCCAUCUCAGCCUCCCAAGUAGCUGGGACCACAGGGCACGCCACCAUGCCCUGCUAAUUGUUUUUUAUAGAGACAACUUCUCACUUUUUUAGCCAGGCUGGUCUCAAACUCCUGGCCUCACACGAUCCUCCCACUUUGGCCUCCCAAAGUGCUGGGAUUAUAGAUGUGAGCCACUGCACUUGGCCUCAAAGCCGCUUUAUCAGUGGUCUUGUCCACCGUGAGCUCUGUCCCCUUUGCAAGCUGACUCGCCCACCCCACCAGCAGCCAUGUACCUUUACUGCCUCACAGCCCUGGCCUACAGAAACUCAGGCUCUCCAGGGAGAAGUGACCAGCCAAGACCCCCCAAACAGGAUCCCUGACCUGCUGGGGGAGAUCCCAGAGCAGAAGCCCCAGGACACAGCUUCCAGCCCUGCACUCCGGCUCUCCCGCCUCAUGGGGGCUUCAGCACCAUCAGAG
rnacentral:lncRNA from 10 species